UUAGAUGUUCGGGGCCGCACGCGCGCCACACUGAAGGAAUCAGCGUGUGCUCUCCCUGUCCGCUAGGACUGGGUAACCCGUUGAACCUCCUUCGUGAUAGGGAUUGGAGCUUGCAAUUGUCUCCAUGAACGAGGAAUUCCUUGUAAGCGCGAGUCAUAAGCUCGUGUUGACUAGGUCCCUGCCCUUUGUCCACACCGCCCGUCGCUACUACCGAUUGAACGAUUUAGUGAGGUCUUUGGACUGGCGCUCGGAGCGGCUUUCGGGCCGAGCCGGCGUGCCGGAAAGAUGACCGAACUUGAUCGUUUAGAGGAAGUAAAAGUCGUAACAAGGUUUCC
rnacentral:rRNA from 1 species